AACGAACGUUGGCGGCGUGGCUUAGGCAUGCAAGUCGAACGCGAAUCCCUGGGCAACUGGGGAGGAGAGUGGCGAAAGGGGCAGUAAGGCGUGGGUAACCUACCCUCCGGGCCGGGAUAGCUUCGGGAAACUGAAGGUAAUACCGGGCGACGCAGCGAGAUCGCAUGGUCUUGCUGCCAAAGGUCCGCCGCCGGGGGAGGGGCUCACGUGGUAUUAGCUAGACGGCGGGGUAACGGCCCACCGUGGCAAAGAUGCCUAGCAGGUGUGAGAGCACGACCUGCGCCACUGGCACUGAGACACUGGCCAGACACCUACGGGUGGCUGCAGUCGAGGAUCUUCGGCAAUGGGCGCAAGCCUGACCGAGCGACGCCGCGUGUGCGAUGAAGGCCUUCGGGUUGUAAAGCACUGUCGAGGGGGAGGAAGCCGCAAGGUUGACCUAUCCCUGGAGGAAGCACGGGCUAAGUUCGUG
rnacentral:rRNA from 1 species